CCUACGGGAGGCAGCAGUGGGGAAUAUUGCACAAUGGGGGAAACCCUGAUGCAGCCAUGCCGCGUGUGUGAAGAAGCCUUCGGGUUGUAAAGCACUUUCAGCGAGGAGGAAAGGUUGAUGCCUAAUACGCAUCAACUGUGACGUUACUUGCAGAAGAAGCACCGGCUAACUCCGUGCCAGCAGCCGCGGUAAU
rnacentral:rRNA from 1 species